AACACCUGUGGGAGAAAACGGCAGUUAAGAAAAGUUGUGGCUUCACGUUAAACGGUCAGUAUUUGUAGAGCGUUUUUCGGAAUAUUUUACCACGUUGAAAUACCGGUGCGGUGACAACGGGUUAACUAAACGCUAAAGUAAAUUUCGUGUUAAUUACGUAUUUUCCGACGUUGUGGCAGCUCCAUUUGUCGCUGCAGCACGGACCACGUAACGUUAAUAUUACUUGGUAAUAUUAAUAUUACUAAUCUAUUACUUGGUUAAUGAAAUGCAAAAGAAAAAACCAAAUGGACCGCUUGUGCAACAGAAGAUGGACAUGACGUUUGUACUGAGAAGAAAUGAUGUGGUGGAUCGAGUCUCAGCCGGCUAUAAGGAAAAUGGUGGAAGGAGGGCCUGCUCUUUUACAGGAAGAUCAGGUGUGCGUUGAAUUUAACAUGAUUGUGGGCAAGCACCUCAAGCAGGAAUUUUAUGAAAGUCUUGAUCAGCACAGUCCUCGUCUUAUUGAUAUAUUUGGAUCCAAGAGAGGGAACGUUGGGCAGCUGUUGACAAAGCUUUCACAACAGAUCAGGGUUGGGCCAUACUCAUUAUUCAUGUGAAUUACUUGUUCUGCUUAUGUAAUCACAAUAUUCCAUAGAAACUGUGCUUGGUUGGUCCAGCUUUCUUAUAGACCAUUCAUUUAUUGUAAUACCUAUCUAAAGUGUUUUGCCCUCAAAAGACUACAGAACAGACAGACAGCUUUGUAAGUAACCUCUUACUUUUUUAAAGGGCUAUCUAAAGCAGGGUUAUUCAACUCACAGUCCUCGAGGUCCGAGCACUGCUGGUUUCCCAGCCUUCCCUUACCUGUCAGUCAAGUGUGAAGCCUCUGACCAAUCAGAAUCAGUAAUUAUUAAACAACUACCUGGGGGAACUAAAAACACGGUCUGGAUUUGGAAUCGAGGUCCAGAGUUGAAGAACCCUGAUCUAAAGGGACCAAAUCUUUCAUUUUUGCCAUUAUUAGUUUUUUUUUUUUUUUGAUAAACCCUGUGAGCAUAGUUGUAUACAAGUAAAAGAGUAAGAUACUGUUCUACUUAUCAGUAGGACAAUCCACUGGUCCAUCUAGUUUCUGUGAUAACCAGUCCACACCUUUCAUCGCUUGUCUGUCUCACUGACUGUGCUACAUUACUUUGCAUUGUUGAUGGGUUAUUUUAUGUGAAAUAUCAUCAUUGUGCUCUUAUGUUUAUUUUAAUAAGGAUUCUGAUGAUGACAACCACAUUGACUUUGGGAUCCUCCUCAUUGAGCAUGAAAGUCCUGUACUGACCUUGCUUGCCAAAGCAGGAAAGAUGUUGUUUUGGUAUUUGCUCAUGUUUUUAAGUUGGAUAAAACAACAAAAAAUCUUCA